rnacentral:rRNA from 1 species
GACGAACGCUGGCGGCGUGCUUAACACAUGCAAGUCGAACGGAAAGGCCCUGCUUUUGUGGGGUGCUCGAGUGGCGAACGGGUGAGUAACACGUGAGUAACCUGCCCUUGACUUUGGGAUAACUUCAAGAGACUGGGGCUAAUACCGGAUAGGAGCUCCUGCUGCAUGGUGGGGGUUGGAAAGUUUCGGCGGUUGGGGAUGGACUCGCGGCUUAUCAGCUUGUUGGUGGGGUAGUGGCUUACCAAGGCUUUGACGGGUAGCCGGCCUGAGAGGGUGACCGGCCACAUUGGGACUGAGAUACGGCCCAGACUCCUACGGGAGGCAGCAGUGGGGAAUAUUGCACAAUGGGCGGAAGCCUGAUGCAGCAACGCCGCGUGCGGGAUGACGGCCUUCGGGUUGUAAACCGCUUUCGCCUGUGACGAAGCGUGAGUGACGGUAAUGGGUAAGGAAGCACCGGCUAACUACGUG